rnacentral:rRNA from 1 species
CCUACGGGUGACAGCAGUGGGGAAUAUUGCACAAUGGGGGAAACCCUGAUGCAGCGACGCCGCGUGAGUGAAGAAGCGUUUCGGCGCGUAAAGCUCUGUCAGCGGGGAAGAAACACGGUUCGCGAGAGCCGCGGACGGUACCCGACCAAGAAGCCCCGGCUAAAUACGUGCCAGCAGCCGCGGUAAUACGUAGGGGGCAAGCGUUAUCCGGAUUCACUGGGGGGAAAGGGAGCGUAGACGGGUAGACAAGUCUGGCGUGAAAGGUCGGGGCCCAAACCCGGGACUGCUCUGGAAAAUGCGUUGCUUGAGUACAGGAGAGGGAAGUGGAAUGCCUGGUGUAGCGGUGAAAUGCGUAGAUAUUAGGAGGAACACCAGUGGCGAAGGCGGCUUACUGGACCGUAACUGACGUUGAGGCUCGAAAGCGUGGGGAGCAAACAGGAUUAGAUACCCUUGUAGGC